CAGCACCAUAUGGGGGAUCCUUGGUGUGAUCCUAAGUACAGACAGAAAGGCACCAAGUUAAAGUGGUGGGGGCCCUGCAGCGUGGCGAGCAGUGCAGUGCCACACUGCCACUGCUGUGAAGAACAAAGGUGUGGGGUCUUCAGAAGAGCCUUACAAAACGCAACUGUUCAGAGAAAAACAUACCACAAGACUGCUGCAGGGUCUGGUAGUGAAAAGUUGCAACUAGCAAUUCUUACAAACUCAAGAGUUUGACUUACUUCGCCUCCAUUGAUAACUAUGUCAGGGUCAACCACGUUGCCAACAGAUUUAGACAUCUUCUCCCCCUUCUCACCAAGAGUAAAUCCAUGAACUACCAGAGUCCUGAAGAAAAGAUUUUAGUGAAGACAAUAUCCCAGUGAAAAAUCUUUGUUAAGAACAGGUUUCUAAGGAUAUUCCCACAUCAAAACAUGCAGAAAUCCUCUAUUUCACUAAGCCUGAGGCUUCAUCUGUUUAUUUCAACCAACCAUGAAUACACUGUACUACCCUCCAAGCAGUGAUACAACUUGAUUUUCCUCAUUUAAUUUUGCCAUGGGAGCAACAGAUUGUUUCAGGUAUUUGGGCACAUGUAGUUCAGAUGAAUUAAAGACUAAAAGUAUUACUCUCUUCAAGCCAAUGUAUUUCCCAAAUUUGCACAGCUUCCUUGCAACUGACCCACAUUAGCCUCCCCUGUGGUUUUCAUCUGCCAGGGGCAAAACAGAGCUCCAGUCUAAGACACACACAGACUGAUUCUGAAUUCCUUACAGCCUAAUGUUCAAUUCACAAGUUAAUGAUCCUAGAUUUCCACCCUGCACCUCCCAUACCAAUCCCUUUGAUUAUGGGAAUGGAAGAGAUGGCAGAAGAACAGGCCUGUGUCUGGCAAGGUAAAAGGAUACACCUAAAUGACUGAGGAAGAAAACAGCUAUGAGGAUUGAAACAAUUCAAACCAUAAAUCCAUUACAAUCUAAUCUGAGGAAAACUUUAUACUGAAGGCGUUACAACGUAAGUCAGAUACUUACUAAAGGCUUUCUCUCUCUGUUACACGAUUCUGUUCACACUAUCAGAAGCCUGACAUUUAAUAAAUGAAUUAGCAAUGUGUUUGCAAUCCA